rnacentral:rRNA from 1 species
UACGUAGGGCGCAAGCGUUAUCCGGAAUUAUUGGGCGUAAAGAGCUCGUAGGCGGUUUGUCGCGUCUGCUGUGAAAGACCGGGGCUCAACUCCGGUUCUGCAGUGGGUACGGGCAGACUAGAGUGCAGUAGGGGAGACUGGAAUUCCUGGUGUAGCGGUGAAAUGCGCAGAUAUCAGGAGGAACACCGAUGGCGAAGGCAGGUCUCUGGGCUGUAACUGACGUUGAGGCGCGAAAGCGUGGGGAGCAAACAGG